UCAGGAAUAUUGCGCAAUGGAGGAAACUCUGACGCAGCGACGCCGCGUGGGUGAUGAAGGCCUUCGGGUCGUAAAGCCCUGUCGGAGGGGAAGAAAAGCUUGCUGGCUAAUAUCCAGCGAGCCCUUGACGGUACCCUCAAAGGAAGCACCGGCUAACUCCGUGCCAGCAGCCGCGGUAAGACGGAGGGUGCAAGCGUUGUUCGGAUUGACUGGGCGUAAAGGGCGUGUAGGCGGUUGGUCAAGUCCGGUGUGAAAGCCCGAGGCUCAGCCUCGGAAGUGCAUCGGAAACUAGCCAGCUGGAGUGCGAUAGAGGAGGGUGGAAUUCCUGGUGUAGCGGUGAAAUGCGUAGAUAUCAGGAGGAACACCGGCGGCGAAGGCGGCCCUCUGGAUCGUUACUGACGCUGAGACGCGAAAGCGUGGGGAGCAAACAGGAUUAGAUACCCCCGUAGUCC
rnacentral:rRNA from 1 species